rnacentral:rRNA from 1 species
UACGUAGGUGGCAAGCGUUGUCCGGAAUUAUUGGGCGUAAAGGGCUCGUAGGCGGUUUGUCGCGUCGGGAGUGAAAACCUACAGCUUAACUGUGGGCUUGCUUUCGAUACGGGCAGACUAGAGGUAUGCAGGGGAGAACGGAAUUCCUGGUGUAGCGGUGAAAUGCGCAGAUAUCAGGAGGAACACCGGUGGCGAAGGCGGUUCUCUGGGCAUGAUCUGACGCUGAGGAGCGAAAGUGUGGGGAGCGAACAGG